ensembl:lncRNA
AUGGAGCAGAAACCCCUAAGAGUGCCCAAGCUGGCCGGGGUGGAGGAAGAGGACAAAGGCCCUGGAGCUGCCCCAGGGCAUGAGACUGAAGAGGUGGUGCCAUUCAAGCAGCUGCAGGAGGAUGCAGCCCUGGAGCGGACACAAGAACAGGAACCCGCCCGUGGCCGCUUCCGCAGAACAGCGCAGACCAUCCGUCAAUUCAUCACGUGCAUUUGGCAGGAAGAGAGCACAGGUGUGGGCACCGGGAUCUUGGCAAGCUUUCACCUCUUCAGUGCCGAGACCAGUGCUGCCAUGCUGGAUUUGCUGGUGGAGAAGGGUGUCUCCAAUGCAAAGCAAGUGCCAGCCAUGGUGAGGUACAUCCACCGGUGGCUCACGGCCAACGAGUCUGCUGAGCACAGGCUGGACAAGGCCCUUCUGGAGCUGACCAAGGAAUACCCCUCUGACGUGCUGAUCACUCUCUUGCGCUGGGCCCCAUCGUGUGACAGAGCUGCCGUGACCAUGUGGGGGACCAUCAUGUCCUCGAGCAGGACCGCCGAGCCGGCGCUGCAGAUCCUCCUCGAUGUGCUGAGCGCCUGGCCAGAGGACAGCGUGUACACCUCUGAUGGGGACAGCACAGGGGUCUUUGCCCUGGCUGCAACAGUAACAAUGUGGAGGGUCUUCAAUCUGACCUGGUGCCCACCUGUAGUGCAGGUAUAUUUCCCCAAUCUCCUUCUGCGUCUGCUCUUCCAAGCUUACAUCAGCACGCUGGAUAUGCCAGAAGAGGUGGAUACCUUCUGGAAGAGAUGCCAGGAGCAACACGACCUUGCUGCCCACCCCAACAGCUUUGCACUGCAGACCCUGAAGGCCCUGCUCUGCCAAAUGCAGUACGAGGACGUGGUGCUAGCAAUGGAACGCAGGUGUGCCUGGAACAUGCUGCUCUGUGCCCACACCCACCAUUAUGCAGUGGGUCUGCUGGCCAGGGAGAUGCGCCGUGUCUCCAUCAUCUGGCGCUGCAGGAUCGCAUCCUGCCUCUUUGACCUACUCAGCCAAGACAUUUCAGCCUGGGAACUGCCCGCCCUGACGUUCCUGGUGGAGGUGAGCCCGAUGGCCAGCGCUGCCUCGCUCAGCUGCCUCCCACGCCUCUGCCCUCUGGUAGCCGCAGCUGCCUGGGAUGGUGCCCUGUGCUGCUGCCUUGGCUCAGCCCUGUGCGGUUCUGAGCUCCUGCCAGCUGGGCACUCCUGUCACUGCUCUGUGCCUUUCAGGUCCUGGACUGCCUGGACUUGAGUGAAUGCGGUGAAAAGGUCCUGCAGAUCAUGACAAGGCACCUGAAGAGACGGUCCAGAGAGAUGCGUCGCGUGGCGCUCAGAGGCCUCGUGGUGCUCAGCCAGGACCCCUCGAUGGUGAGAAGGAGGCAGCAGCUGAAGCUGUGCUGGCAGCCUGGGGCUGGGGAAAGCAGCCCCGUGGGCUUGGCUGGGCUUUGGGAGCUGUGGCAGCUGCUCCCAGCUCUCCAGGGUCACUGUUCAGCUGCCUGAGUGCUCUGGGACAGGCCUUCGGCCUCUGAGCCCUGCAGCAGCAGCAGCAGCGUCGGGUUGCCCAGCCUUGUUUUCCACACAGAACCAAAGAAUGUACAGCCUGACUGAAAGCCUUGGCAACCUCCUGCGGGCCGUGGAUGAAGACAUUGUUGAGAUGACCGUCGUUGUUCUCAGCUCUCUGCUCUUCAACAAAGAGAUAGCAAUAGCCAGCCCCAUCGCCCUGCAGCUGGCUGAGGCGCUCUGGCAACUCUUCGACAAU